CAGGCAACUGUCACAAAUUAAGUUUGCACCUAGACUAAAACAGUGACAGGAAGCAAUGUUUGUCAGGUGGCUUUAUUUCAGUCUUUAAUCUUGUCUGUUUCUCACUUGAAAGGCAGAGACUCCCCUGUGUUAUCCAGGCAGCUGGUGUUGACAAGACGUAAAUGAGACAAGUACUAAAAUAUCCAACAUCCUGUGGACCUGUGGAAAAAUAAUCCUACUUUUUGAUGGAUGGAAUAUGUUCAAAGUAGCAUUCUUGUAUGGAGUAUACAAUUAACUGUCUUGGUAACCUGAAAACCAAUAGACUGUAUUCCCUCUUCUUUUCCUGGAAGUGGCAGAGUUGUAAGGGCUUUUCUAAAUGCCUAAAAUGUCGAGUGUGGUGACUCAUAUGCCUUUCUCUGCAGAUCAGAGCAAAUGUGCAAGGACCUCCCAGUGCCUUGAGGACCACUCUCUUUCCUGGAGAUCUCACAAAACCGAAUGGGUUGAGGUCUCUAUUGAUCUGCACUUCAUGUAUUCAGUACUCCUCCUGUGUGGAUUUGUGAACUGCACUGCUACCUUCCAGAAACUAACAUUUCUCAUGCUGAAACUCUCAUGUUACAGAACUAAAGGAUGCUAAAUGAAAUCAAAAAAGACUCCUGCAAGCAGGAGGGGAAGGCAAUGCAGUGGAUUGUAUUGUUUUAGUGCUUCAGCAUAAAGACUGGUACAUACUCAGUAUACAAUGUAUAUAGAUAUAUAUAUACACAAAUAGAUAUACAGGUAGGUAUGUAUGUCAUAAAACUAAAUAAAACAGGACUGGGGCAAGGGCUGGAUCA
ensembl:lncRNA